rnacentral:rRNA from 1 species
UACGAAGGGUGCAAGCGUUACUCGGAAUUACUGGGCGUAAAGGGUGCGUAGGUGGUUUGUUAAGUCUGCUGUGAAAUCCCCGGGCUCAACCUGGGAAUGGCAGUGGAUACUGGCAAGCUAGAGUGCGGUAGAGGGUAGUGGAAUUCCCGGUGUAGCAGUGAAAUGCGUAGAGAUCGGGAGGAACACCAGUGGCGAAGGCGGCUAACUGGACCAGCACUGACACUGAAGCACGAAAGCGUGGGGAGCAAACAGG